CCUACGGGAGGCAGCAGUGGGGAAUAUUGCACAAUGGGCGCAAGCCUGAUGCAGCGACGCCGCGUGCGGGAUGACGGCCUUCGGGUUGUAAACCGCUUUUGACUGGGAGCAAGCCCUUCGGGGUGAGUGUACCUUUCGAAUAAGCACCGGCUAACUACGUGCCAGCAGCCGCGGUAAUACGUAGGGUGCAAGCGUUAUCCGGAAUUAUUGGGCGUAAAGGGCUCGUAGGCGGUUCGUCGCGUCCGGUGUGAAAGUCCAUCGCUUAACGGUGGAUCCGCGCCGGGUACGGGCGGGCUUGAGUGCGGUAGGGGAGACUGGAAUUCCCGGUGUAACGGUGGAAUGUGUAGAUAUCGGGAAGAACACCAAUGGCGAAGGCAGGUCUCUGGGCCGUCACUGACGCUGAGGAGCGAAAGCGUGGGGAGCGAACAGGAUUAGAUACCCUGGUAGUCCACGCCGUAAACGGUGGAUGCUGGAUGUGGGGACCAUUCCACGGUCUCCGUGUCGGAGCCAACGCGUUAAGCAUCCCGCCUGGGGAGUACGGCCGCAAGGCUAAAACUCAAAGAAAUUGACGGGGGCCCGCACAAGCGGCGGAGCAUGCGGAUUAAUUCGAUGCAACGCGAAGAACCUUACCAAGGCUUGACAUGCACGGCGGCACUGCAGAGAUGCGGUGGCAUUUAGUUGGUCGUGUGCAGGUGGUGCAUGGUUGUCGUCAGCUCGUGUCGUGAGAUGUUGGGUUAAGUCCCGCAACGAGCGCAACCCUCGCCCUGUGUUGCCAGCACGUCGUGGUGGGAACUCACGGGGGACCGCCGGGGUCAACUCGGAGGAAGGUGGGGAUGACGUCAGAUCAUCAUGCCCCUUACGUCCAGGGCUUCACGCAUGCUACAAUGGCCGGUACAACGGGAUGCGACACCGCGAGGUGGAGCGGAUCCCUUAAAACCGGUCUCAGUUCGGAUUGGAGUCUGCAACCCGACUCCAUGAAGGCGGAGUCGCUAGUAAUCGCGGAUCAGCAACGCCGCGGUGAAUGCGUUCCCGGGCCUUGUACACACCGCCCGUCAAGUCAUGAAAGUGGGUAGCACCCGAAGCCGGUGGCCCAACCUUUUGGGGGGAGCCGUCUAAGGUGAGACUCGUGAUUGGGACUAAGUCGUAACAAGGUAGCCGUACCGGAAGGUGCGGCUG
rnacentral:rRNA from 1 species